AUGGCGAGUUUCAUCCUGGGCCUGGUGGAGCUCGGGGUCAGCGCGGCCGUGCACCUGCUCUUCGGCUUCUACGUCUUCAGCACGGCCGUCGCGGCGGACAUCUCGCAGGCCGCCGCCGCGUCCGGGUGCCCGCUGCUGCGCCGCCCGCCCCCGGCCGCGGGGCUCGUCGACGUCGCCGCCGCCGCCGAGGAGGACGACGAGCGCAGGGGCGUCGUGCUCGACGGCUCGCCGCCGCCCAUCGUCCUCGUCCACGGCAUAUUCGGCUUCGGCAAGGGGAGGCUCGGCGGGAUGUCCUACUUCGCCGGCGCCGAGAAGAAGGACGACCGCGUGCUCGUGCCGGAUUUGGGGUCGCUCACCAGCAUCCAUGACAGGGCGCGGGAGCUGUUCUACUACCUCAAGGGGGGACAGGUGGACUACGGCGUAGAGCACAGCCAGGUUUAUGGCCACACGCGCUUCGGGAGGAUCUAUGAAACAGGGCAUUAUCCGGUGUGGGACGAGCAGAACCCGGUGCACUUUGUGGGGCACUCGGCCGGCGCGCAGGUUGUGAGGGUGCUGCAUCAGAUGCUCGCUGAGAAGGCUUUCCCUGGGCAUGAUACUUCUGAAGACUGGGUUCUGAGCCUUACUUCCUUGUCAGGCGCCCUUAAUGGAACCACACGGACUUACUACGACGGCAUGCUGGCUGAAGAUGGGAGAUCCAUGAAAUCAAUUUGUCUUCUUCAGCUCUGCAGGCUUGGAGUCAUUGUCUAUGAUUGGCUGGACAUUCCUUGGCUGAAGAAUUACUAUAAUUUCGGUUUUGAUCACUUUGAAAUGUCUUGGAGGAAAGUUGGUUUUUCUGGUUUAGUUGAUCUUCUGCUAGGGAAUACUGGGCCGUUUUCCUCAGGAGACUGGAUUCUCCCUGACCUCACAAUUCAAGGAUCUCUAAAAAUUAACUCUACCCUCAAGACCUUUCCCAAUACAUUCUACUUCAGUUACGCUACAAAGAGAACUCGAAAGCUAUUUGGAAUUACAGUACCAUCAAGCGUCCUUGGAGUUCAUCCAAUGCUCUUUCUCAGAGUUCUCCAGAUGUGUAUGUGGCGGCACCCUCAAAACGCACCUCUACCUUACAAAGGAUACAGGGAUGAAGAUUGGGAAGAUAAUGAUGGGGCUUUGAACACAAUCUCCAUGACGCACCCUCGCAUUCCCAUAGAGCAUCCUAACCGUUUUGUAGUGGAUGAUUCUGACUGCAAUCCUUUGCAACCUGGGAUAUGGUAUCACAAGAUCAUUGAGGGUGAUCACAUUCUUUUCAUUGUAAAUCGGGAAAGAGCUGGAGUGCAGUUUGAUUUGCUGUAUGACGGCAUUUUCGAGCGCUGCAGAAAGCAUGCAUUUAGGAAGAGCCCCCCUACCAUGCCAAACGAAGCAAGUCAUUAG
rnacentral:rRNA from 1 species